CGCGAAGAACCUUACCUGGGUUUGACAUGUGCCGGACCGGGGCCGAAAGGUCUCUUCCCUUCGGGGCCGGUGCACAGGUGCUGCAUGGCUGUCGUCAGCUCGUGUCGUGAGAUGUUGGGUUAAGUCCCGCAACGAGCGCAACCCUCGCCCGCUGUUGCUACCGGGUUAUGCCGGGCACUCUGCGGGGACUGCCCCGGUGAACGGGGAGGAAGGUGGGGAUGACGUCAAGUCCUCAUGGCCUUUAUGUCCAGGGCUACACACGUGCUACAAUGGGCAGGACAAUGGGUCGCUCCCGCGCAAGCGGUUGCCAAUCUCCAAAACCUGCUCUUAGUUCGGAUGGUCGGCUGCAACUCGCCGGCCUGAAGCUGGAAUCGCUAGUAAUCGGAGAUCAGCACGCUCCGGUGAAUACGUUCCCGGGCCUUGUACACACCGCCCGUCACACCACGAAAGCCCGUGUGUACCAGAAGUCCGCUGAGCCAACCCGUCAGGGGGGUAGGCGCCUAAGGUAUGCGGGGUAAUUGGGGUGAAGUCGUAACAAGGUAGCCGUAGGGGAACCUGCGGCUGGAUCACCUCCUUU
rnacentral:rRNA from 1 species